UAACUCUUUCUCUUCUUCAUUCAUCCGCCCGCCUCUCCAGAACUUGAGCAACAUAGUGUCUAUACAAAUCCAUCCCAAUCUCCACCUCCAUCGUCUUCUUCUUGCAUAACAUCAUCAAAUCCCCCACCACUGUCACCUUCCCAUCAUCAUAAUCCAUCCCUAAACUAUAACCCUAUCUAGAUCGAGAAAUUCCCUCAAUUAACAUUUCCACCUGAAAUUCAGAAAAGAGAGAAUUGGGUGAUGGUAAUGAUUCUAAAAUUGCAGAUGGAGAACAAGGAAGUAUUAAUGGGAUUUAAUGCUUGUCAUGAACAAGAAAAUGGUGUUUCUGUAGAGACUAGAACUAAUUGAAGGAGAGAUGAAGUUGUUAUCAGAUUUACAGGGAAGAACAUUGAUUGGAUGAACAUCGAUUGUUGCUGGUGAUUUGAGAGAUUGGGGGAAAUUUAUGGUGAUAAUAAGCUUGAACAGGAGGAUGAAAAUAGGGUUUGCAUCAAUUUUGGGUUCUAAUCUAGUUAUGAGAAGACUAUGAAAUUAGGGUUCUUAAACAGAGAGGAGUAAUGGAGACGGGUAUUAGAUGUCGAACUUGAUGGGAAUGGAGGUCAAUUUCAGCUAUUUUUAAAUGUGAAAUCAGCGAGAAAUUGAAGAAAGAAGAUAUCGAUGAUGCCAUUGAAGAUGGUGAAGAAUUGACGGGUUCAGUUGGUGAAUCACUGGCCGAUGAUGCUGUUGAUCGUGAUGAUCAAGAUGGUGACUAUUUGAUGUAAAGUAAUGAUUCGAAUAGAACCAUUGGGUUGCUGUUGUUAUUAAAUGAGAUGGGUUUUUUCUGAUCUCGACAAAUCAGAUGGCUGCUGCUAUCAUCACCAGCGAAUGAUGGAGUUGUUGGCAGAGAAGAACAUGAAGUUGUGGCUGUUUCUGGUGGUCAUCGAUGAUGGAUGGAGUUAAUCAUGGAUGGAGUUAUCUCGAGCGGGGCAGUGGCUUUGUAAUGGAGCUUAACAAAUCAUUGAUGCUGCUGCCAUUAAUUAUCGGAGCUGUGAAUGAUGGCAGCGAUGGAAAGUUCGAGUUUGUUGUGAUAAUGGAGCUCGGGUUAAGAAACAGAGAGAAAGGGAGAAGGUCUUUCGGUGAUUGAUGGGAUUAUGAAGGGGCAGAAUUCGGGUUAAAGAUUGAUAAAGGCAGAGACGAGAUGAAGUUGGCUGUGAUUGUUUGAUUGAUCGUGCUUGAUUUUGUGGAGAUAUAUGAGCAAUGGUUGUUUACUGGAACAACAUAGAGAAGGUUCAGAUUAUGGUGAUUAUGAAGGGGCUCGAACUGAGGAUGAAAAUAGCAGUGACGGAGAAAUUGUGGUGCUGUCAAAGAGAGAAUUUUGCCAUAGCUGUUGCUCGUGACGAUCAUAACCCUGUACGACUAAUGGAUGGCUUUGAUGACAUGAGCACGUGAUCGGAGGGGAAGAAGUAUGGUGGGGACUGGCUGCAGUACUUAUUCUGGUAUGAGGAGAAUAAGUGGGUGUUUGUUGAUGGGCUGAUUUCAGAAGGGUUUGUGAUUGAUUUAGUUUUUUGAGGUGUUAUUGGGAUCGAAUUAGUUUCUUGGUCUGUGGUGUUUUUCGUUUCAUCUCUAGUUGAAUAUCGCAGUUAGAAAUUGGGUUUGAUUUCAAUCUGAAAUUGGUAGCAUAACAGGUGUUAUUGGGUGUUAUUGGGAUCGAAUUAGUUUCUUGGUCUGUGGUGUUUUUUGUUUCAUCUCUAGUUGAAUAUUGCAGUUAGAAAUUGGUUUGAUUUCAAUCUGAAAUUGGUAGCAUAACAGGUGAAUUGUGAGGGUUGUGAUGAUGAUGGGAAGGUGAAAUGGUGGUUCUGAAAAUAUUUGUAUAGUGAAGGGUGCAUUUGUAAUCUCAGUUAAUAAUUUAAUUUAAUAUCAAUUUUUUAAUAA